rnacentral:lncRNA from 1 species
CUGGCCCAGGUGUGGAGCAGGUGUUGGGUUGCUGGGCUGGAGCCCGGCCAGGAGCCUGCUCCUCCUCCCUGGUGUUCCUCCCCAGGAGCCUGCUCCUCCCUCCUCAGUGCUCUUCCCCAGAACUCCCUUCCUCCCUCAGUUUUCUUCCCCAGAAUUCCUUUUCUCACUCAGUUUUCUUCCCCAGAAUUCCCUUCCUCCCUCAGUUUUCUUCCCCAGAAUUCCCUUCCUCCUCAGUUUUCUUCCCCAGAAUUCCUUUUCUCACUCAGUUUUCUUCCCCAGAAUUCCCUUCCUCACUCAGUUUUCUUCCAUAGAAUUCCCUUCCUCUCUCAGUUUUCUUCCCUGAAAUUCAGUUUCUCAUUCAGUUUUCCUCCCCAAAAUUCAGUUCCUCACUCGGUUUUCCUCCCCAGAAUUCCAUUCUUUGCUCAAUUUUCACCCCAGGAGCCUGUUCCUCGCUCAGUUUCCCUCCCCAUCCGUCUGGGCAGAGCUGGGCUGGGCUGGGUUUGGUUUUCCUGCUGUCCCUGACCUUUGGGAGGGCUGGGAUGUGAUUCCAGGCCCUGGGAGCUGCAGCCCGGGUUCAAUGAGAGCUGAUCCGAGGCCUUGGGUCCUGCCAGGAUUGUGGAAUGGGGGUGUCAGUGCUGAUCCAUGGCCUUGGGUCCUUCCAGGUCUAUGGAAUUGAGGUGUCAGUGCUGAUCCAUGGCCUUGGGUCCUGCCAGGGUCAGGGAAUUGGGGUGUCAGUGCUGAUCCAUGGCCUUGGGUCCUUUCAGGUCUAUGGAAUCAAGGUGUCAGUGGUGUUCCAUGUCCCCAGGUCCUUCCAGGGUCAAGGAACGGGGCUGUCAGUGCUGAUCCAUGUGCUCAGGUCCAGGUCUAUGGAAUGGGGGUGUCAGGGGUGGUUCCCAUGUCCCCAGGUCCUUCCUGGGCUGUGGAAGGACUCAAGUGCUGAUCUGUGGCCUCAGGUCCUUCCAGGUUUAUGGAAUGGG